ACAGUUUGAUCCUGGGUCAGAUUGAGCGCUGGCGUAAGGCCUAACACAUGCAAGUCGAACGGUAACAGGAAGAAGCUUGCUUCUUUGCUGACGAGUGGCGGACGGGUGAGUAAUGUCUGGGAAACUGCCUGAUGGAGGGGGAUAACUACUGGAAACGGUAGCUAAUACCGCAUAACGUCGCAAGACCAAAGAGGGGGACCUUCGGGCCUCUUGCCAUCGGAUGUGCCCAGAUGGGAUUAGCUAGUAGGUGGGGUAACGGCUCACCUAGGCGACGAUCCCUAGCUGGUCUGAGAGGAUGACCAGCCACACUGGAACUGAGACACGGUCCAGACUCCUACGGGAGGCAGCAGUGGGGAAUAUUGCACAAUGGGCGCAAGCCUGAUGCAGCCAUGCCGCGUGUAUGAAGAAGGCCUUCGGGUUGUAAAGUACUUUCAGCGGGGAGGAAGGGAGUAAAGUUAAUACCUUUGCUCAUUGACGUUACCCGCAGAAGAAGCACCGGCUAACUCCGUGCCAGCAGCCGCGGUAAUACGGAGGGUGCAAGCGUUAAUCGGAAUUACUGGGCGUAAAGCGCACGCAGGCGGUUUUGUUAAGUCAGAUGUGAAAUCCCCGGGCUCAACCUGGGAACUGCAUCUGAUACUGGCAAGCUUGAGUCUCGUAGAGGGGGGUAGGAUUCCAGGUGUAGCGGUGAAAUGCGUAGAGAUCUGGAGGAAUACCGGUGGCGAAGCGGCCCCUGGACGAAGACUGACGCUCAGGUGCGAAAGCGUGGGAGCAAACAGGAUUAGAUACCCUGGUAGUCCACGCGUAACGAUGUCGACUUGGAGGUUGUGCCCUUGAUGCGUGCUUCUGAGCUACGCGUUAGUCG
rnacentral:rRNA from 1 species